rnacentral:rRNA from 1 species
UACGUAGGGGGCUAGCGUUGUCCGGAAUUAUUUGGGCGUAAAGAGCGUGUAGGCGGUUCGAUAAGUCUGCUGUAAAAGUCGGGGCUCAACCCUCGAAGGCCGGUGGAUACUGUCGAGCUAGAGUACGGUAGAGGCGAGUGGAAUUUCCCGUGGUGUAGGCGGUAAAUGCGUAGAGAUCGGGAGGAACACCAGUGGCGAAGGCGGCUCGCUGGGCCGGACCUGACGCUGAGACGCGAAGGCGUGGGGAGCGAACGGG